AUUGAACGCUGGCGGAAUGCUUUACACAUGCAAGUCGAACGGCAGCACGGGGCAACCUGGUGGCGAGUGGCGAACGGGUGAGUAAUACAUCGGAACGUGCCCAAUCGUGGGGGAUAACGUAGCGAAAGUUACGCUAAUACCGCAUACGAUCUACGGAUGAAAGCGGGGGAUCGCAAGACCUCGCGCGAUUGGAGCGGCCGAUGUCAGAUUAGGUAGUUGGUGGGGUAAAGGCUCACCAAGCCGACGAUCUGUAGCUGGUCUGAGAGGACGACCAGCCACACUGGGACUGAGACACGGCCCAGACUCCUACGGGAGGCAGCAGUGGGGAAUUUUGGACAAUGGGCGCAAGCCUGAUCCAGCCAUUCCGCGUGCAGGAUGAAGGCCUUCGGGUUGUAAC
rnacentral:rRNA from 1 species